ensembl:lncRNA
CCUUAACCAACGGCACAACUCCGGAACAUUUCCAUGCAGUUCAAGCCAGAACAAAUAACUUUUAAAUGUGCUAUCUUAACCAAGGGACCCCCUUGAAGGCAAAGAGAGCAUCACAACACAUCUCACCAGGACAAAAGCUAUUCAACUUUUGAUGGGAAUAUGAGGACGAAACCGGAAAUCACGCGAGGAGAGCGAGACAACUUUUAAAAUGUUGUUCCAGUAAAUGUGCAUGACAUUAUCAGCUCUGCAUGGACCGUCGGUAUGUAUUUCUUGAGGUAAUCCAGGUUCAGUUGGAACUUUGCAUGGUGAGGAAAGCACCAAUCCUGUGGAUACAGCCUACUCCAUUGACUUUAGAUUGAAUCAGGACAGGAAGUGCUGCUACAUUUAAAAGAUUUUUCGAAUUUACCCCGGGAUUACUCCGUUGGGUUGAACAAAUUGAUGCAGACCAAUGCAAUCCGAAGAAUUGGGAAAUUAAGCUAAACUGGUCCGAAAAUGUCUAAGCAACUUGCUUGUCAGAACUGUGACGUGAAGUUUAACACCAUUCGCAGCUUGAAGCUACAUGUCAGCGGAAUAAAACAUCGAAAGAAAGUGGCAGAGCUGUUCCAGUCAGAUGAGUACCAUGGCCGAGUCUACGUCCCAUUCAUCUUGGUUCUGGGACAUUUGACCAAACAACCCAUGAGCACCCCACAGCCUAUUGUUGGUCUGUGCCUGGUCACAAUUUGUUUGAGUUCAGAGAGGAGUGAUGCGUUCUACCUGUGUCAUGUGUGUGAGGAGAACUGUGGCCAAGGAAAUAUCAUAGACCAUCUGACUUCUGCCGACCAUCUCUCCAACUACUACAACUACACAGACCCGGAUUUGUUGAGUUUCUCCUGGUUGACUGGCUCGAACAAUUCGAAUCAUCUACAGGUGCUCGCUGCCAAAGAUCUGGACCGGAAUGGACCCGGGGUGCUGCGGAUGCUGGACAUGCCUAAGAGUAUGGUUUUGGAUUUGAAGAAGAUUGGCUACUCUAAAGUGAUGCAGGCUCUAACUCAGUCUGAGAGGCUGGAGAAGUGCGUCAGAGCUGGUAGACCGGAGAGGAGGACAAUACAAGAUUACCACAGAGACUCCAGAAGGAAGCAUCCUCUGCUGGGUUUACAGCACCUGGUGGAGUACUGCUGUGAGGGGUGUGACCAGAAGAAAUCCUACCUGUGCCAACUGUGUCAACUCUACAUCCCAUUACAUAGAGUCAUCAAACACACACUGAGCUUUGACCAUAUCUACUGGUACUUUAAAGCGUGGCAUCCCUCCACCCUCCUGACGAAGGACUGUUAUAAGGCCUACAGCGACCGGUUCAAGUCCAUCAUGCUGGACCUGGCCAAUCAGGCACAAGACAUCAGCCGGUCCGCCAAUAACGAGAUACAGCGUGUUGUGUUGGAACCAGAAGUGUUCGCCUCCGUGCCGUCUGUCUAUAGAGAAGCCCUGAGGAAGUUGGAGACCAUUAGAGAGGAGCGUAAUGAGGGCUGUUUGAAGACCAGCGUGACUCCUGGAGACAAAUUGGUUCCUUUUUUAAACAGGUCAAAGGUUAUCAAAGAUACCACAAGAACUGUUGCCGAGGCUGUUGAUUUGGAGGAAGAGUUGAGCCCAGAGAUGUCCUCCAUUCCUCGAGCUGUUGAAAAGCCUAGAGAAGCUACAGCUGCUCCAGGUUUGACCGCAGCUAGUGGCCAAAAAGGUGUUUGCCGUUUGCUCUGUCAGAAUUGCAACGAGGUAUAUGCUUUGGUGUCGCUCUUCAAGUUACAUGUACGCAGCUGGAAACAUCAGAUGAUGCUGGGUGACGGGCCAGGCCACCUACCAUCCUUUACUUUGUACGAGUACAUGCGGAACCCAGGGCGAACUGAACCAAUUAUUGGUGUCCAUCUGAUCUCGACGUGUCUGAAUUCAGAGUGUGUGGACAUACCGGUGUGCCUGUGUCACAUCUGUCAUGAGUGUUUCACGGCAAUUUCUAUCUUGUCUCACCUCACCUCUGCUUCCCACCUCCAACAGACCCUGAUGUACCAGAGUCCAGAGCGUCUGCCGUUUGGCUGGAAACCAGAAAUUGACCGGAAGGUCUUGAACACCCUGGCCUGGGAAGAGGAGACCGACAGAGGAGAGAAGGACAUGAUCCUGAAGGUGUUCUUUUGUCCUGACAUUGUUUUCUCCAACAUUAAGACAUUGCACUACCUCACUGCCAUUAAGUGUCUCAAAGACUUUCAUGGUUAUUAUUUUGUUGACAAACCACUGACAAUUUGGACCCAUCUGAAAAACACAAAAAGGACAUUUCCUCUGCUGGGUUUGCAGUUCCUGGUUCAAUACAGCAUUACAAGGCCCAGGGACUCGUUUCCAAGAUGGGGGUACCUGUGUCUUCUGUGUGAGGAGAAGUUGUCAGACAGGCUCAGCGUGGCUCACAUGCACAGCAACACUCAUGUCACUAUGUUCCUGAAACGUGCACAUCCCGGUUCUCUGGAAGAGGUGAAGUGGCAUGAUGAAAGGAGGAGUGAAGUAUUGCUCGACCUGGCACAACAGGCUGAGACAAUACACACUCCCAGCCGUGUACAGGUCAUAAAAUUGGAACGCUGCAUUGCUGAAUCAGUCAUGUACACAAAAGCCCUGGCGAUCCUGAAGUCAGUCAAUAAGAGAGGAUUCAGACUGCAGAUUCCUCUGCUACCACGUGGGAAAAAACUGGUGCCCUUCGGGGGAAUACAAGACCAAAGCCGGACCACAGAACCUGUUCCUGUACGUCUGUAUGUUGGAGAGGAUAAUGAGACCAGGAACAAAAAUGACAAUGAGAUAAAGAACUACAAAGAGACCACCCCAGAUACUGUAAACAUGACUCACAAGACUGGGAUGGAGGUGGAAAAACAAAUUGGCAAAAAACCCUGCACUGACUCCGGUAGAAAGACUGGAGAAGAACCCUGCUGUGGGCCCGGUCCAAAGGCGGGCAAGGAACCCUGCAGCGGCCCCGGGGCAAAGACGGGCAAAGAACCCUGCAGCGGCCCCGGGGCAAAGACGGGCAAAGAACCCUGCAGCGGCCCCGGGGCA